GAGAGCCAGAUGCGGUGAAAAUCGCACGCCCGGUUCGGGAAAGGGCAUGGGAAAACCGGCUUAAGCCAGGUGUCCCAUGCCUACUUCAC
rnacentral:ncRNA from 1 species